CCCACUCUGGUGUGGCAGUGGUUAAUGCCCCCCUCGUUGUAUUUCGAUGGGCGGCGGUCGGAGGUUCGAUCCCUCUGAGUGGCG